GAUGAACGCUAGCGGUAGGCUUAACACAUGCAAGUCGAGGGUAACAGGAGAGCUUGCUCUCGCUGACGACCGGCGCACGGGUGAGUAACGCGUAUGCAACCUGCCUGUAACUGGAGGAUAGCCCUUGGAAACGAGGAUUAAUACUGCGUAACGUUAUUUAAUCGCAUGAUUUAAUAACCAAAUCUACGGAGGUUACAGAUGGGCAUGCGUGCCAUUAGUUAGUUGGUAAGGUAAUGGCCUGUCAAGGCGACGAUCUCUAGCUGGUUUGAGAGGAUGAUCAGCCACACUGGGACCGAGACACGGCCCAG
rnacentral:rRNA from 1 species